CUACUGUCGCUUGGGGCGAGCGUUUCUGUUGGCCUUGCAGCUGUUGUGAAGGACUGAUUAUCGAGCACGUGUAGUUGUUUUGCUUCAUCCGGAGGUAGCGAGAGACUGAGGUUUAGGCGAAUGAAUUCAGUGUGAUAGCAAACUGCUCUGUUCUGGUACCCCGCAAAAAAAAAAAACUGCUCUGUUCUGGUGAUAAUGUCUUGGGUAGUGAUUGAUCGUUGUUCCACUCCAAAUGAGAGAUGGAUAAUGUUUUGGCUAAACAAUAGUAUGGAUUUUGUUUCAUUGAGACAUUAGAGAAGAGACCAAAAGCUUGUUGCAUUUCUGUUCAUAAUAUAUCAUUUGGGUACAGCGAUCGAGAGAAAAGAUAUAUUGACGAGUGAUUUACUGGUACAUCGAUGAGGUGCACGAAGUCGAAUGUAAAAGAAGUGGCAGGAUUAAAACAAGUAGCACAGGGUUGCCAUCUCCGGCGUGAGUUGCUACAAGUUUGUAUAGCCAUGAUAGGACACACAGCUUUCUUAUAUACCAAUUCUUUAUUUUCUGUUGUCCUCUCCGUGCCUUGUUGCAUUUUCUUUCUUUUCUAAUAAAAAUCGAGCC
rnacentral:lncRNA from 1 species